AGCUCCAAUAGCGUAUAUUAAAGUUGUUGCAGUUAGAACGCUCGUAGUCGGAUUUCGGGGCGGGCUGACCGGUCUGCCGAUGGGUACGUACUGGUCAGCGCGUCCUUCCUCCUGGAGACCGUGCCUACUCUUAACUGAGCGGGGGCGGGAGACAGGACUUUUACUUUGAAAAAUCAGAGUGUUUCAAGCAGGCAGCUCGCUCUUGCAUGGAUUAGCAUGGGAUAAUGAAAUAGGACUUUGGUGC
rnacentral:rRNA from 1 species